UCAAUCUGUCAAACGUGAAACUGUAUUCCUUCAAUGUCGCCAAUUGAAUUGGUAAAAAAACCAAUUGAAUCUCCACUACCUAAUCUUCACACCUAUAUCUAAAAUCUUGCCUUCUACCCCAUCAGAAUUAACAUAACAUUGGUCUCCCAUACUCUCUCAUGGCGUCCAACACAAAUUUGUUCCUUAAAAAACCCUAACCACAAAAUCUGACACCCACCAUCAUCCACCACUCCUGUUCUGUUUCAGAUGCAUUCCCUCACCUUCGUCACCACCAUAAGUCUGAAGCCUUACACCACCUUCCACAAUGUUUACAUCCCCUGCCACUUGCCCCAAACGACAUCACUUUAUCUUUGGUUGUUUUUUGAUUUCCAGGUUCAUUUCCUUCCUUUUUUAUUCUGGUUUUCCUUUAAUUUUGUGGAAUUAUGAGAUUUUGUUUGGAUAAAUGAAAAUUGGGGUUCCAAGAAUGUAGAUUGUGAAGACAGAUAUAAUGGUGCUCAUACCUCCACCCAUGUCACUGCACACCACCACCGCCACCAUUGUUGGUCGUUAUCUUUAUUACCAUCGAGCACGAUUGUGGAACCACUUCACCCUCACAUAUAGAUCUGCUUCUUCCCUUAAUCUGCUUCUUCUCCACUUUAAUUUCGUUUUGUCCAAUCAAAUUAGCUCCCCAUAUUACUAUUGUUGUGUUUCAUAUUUACUAAUUUUACCAUUCACUUAAUUUAUAUGACCAACUAUUUUUAAUUCCCUAUUUAUUCAUUUUGGAUCUAAUACAAGCACUCAUGUUCUAGGUCAAACAUGCUACAUUUUUUAUGGGUAAAGCUGCAGUCUUUAACUGAUACUUUGGUUCUAAUGCUCAAAAGAAAACAAGCUUCAAUUGAUUGGUCAAGGUAACUUUUAUUUCUCUAUAUUUAUGUUUCUUUGUGGGUGAUUUGGUCAUUUUUGAUGAGUAAUGGGAAUGUUUUACCUUAUUUAAAUGUUCGGUUUUAAACAUGAGUUUUCCGUGGUUAUCAUGUCUUGAAGUGUAUUCUUGUAGUUAAUUUUGGUGAGUGGGUUACGUUGGUUGAUCCACAUCAUGACCUACAACAAAUAUGAAGUAGGAGAUCUUCUCUUUUACUAUUUCUUAUUUUAAUAAUUUUCUAUCUUUUUCAUCAUUCCAAUUAUUGUUGCUAACCAUGUUGAUUAGUUUCCUCUGUUUCUAUUUUUACCACACAACAACUUUAUUUUAACUACAAAAGAAUUUAGUUUAAUCCUUCACUUUUGAUUAUAAAAAUGACAGCCGGAGCCUGACAUAUUUUGAAUUUUUCUGAAUGGUUUAAGAGUUACCUGAUUAUUGCCAUGAAAUUUUUUAUAUUAACACAUGCAUAUGCAGGUUAGCGCUUCCCUGUAAAUGUAAUAAUCAAGUUAAGGGAUUACAAAAACAAUUAUGUCAUUUUCUAACCAUCUGUUGGUAUGUUUUUGCAAAAAUCAUGUAUGCUUUAAGGCGUUUUUUUUUAAUCCAAUCUUCUCUUUGUCAUACACAUCAAUCAACAAUUGUUGGAGACAUCUCUCAAUAGAUUUUAAAACAAACAAUGUUUAUUGAACCUAUGUAAUCUUUGUUUUGUUUUAUGUAAUCUUUUUGCCUCUAGAAUCUUGCUACGAGUAUGUAAUUUAAAACACUGUUUCAAAACUUUGUGAUAUUGGAAUGUAUAAACAUAGUUUUUUUUAAUGUUUAGUAGGAGCAACAGAAAACGGAUACACAACUUUUUAUAAAUACUUAGGCCGGAUGUGAAAAAUGGAUAUUUAAUUUUUUAUAAUUACUUUGGUUGAAAUUAAAAAAAAAAAAAAAAAAAAAAAAAGGUUUGUCUAACUUCAAGAAACAAAAAGUAAAACUGUAAAUCACCAUUGAUCUAGAAAUAUCAUUACAUACAUAUAUUACAAAAAAAUAGGGCAUCAUGGUUUUCUCAAAUGUAAAAAGCAUAUACUAUUAAGAAUUAUAUUUAAGGUAUGAGAUUAAACUAUCAAAC
rnacentral:lncRNA from 1 species